rnacentral:rRNA from 1 species
UCUACGGGAGGCAGCAGUGAGGAAUAUUGGUCAAUGGCCGGAAGGCUGAACCAGCCAUGCCGCGUGAAGGUCAGUGCCCUAUGGGCGUUAAACUUCUUUUGUGCGGGAGCAAUAAUGGUCACGUGUGGCCAGAAGAGAGUACCGGACGAAUAAGCAUCGGCUAACUCAGUGCCUGCAGCCGCGGUAAAACGGGGGGUGCAAGCGUUAUACGGAUUUAAGGGGGUGAAAGGGAGCGGAUGCUGUGAGGUAAGUCAGCGGUGCAAUGCCCCCGCUCAACGGGGUGAAGUGCCAUUGAUACUGUCUGGCUGGAAUGCGGAUGCCGUGGGAGGAAUGUGUGGUGUAGCGGUGAAAUGCAUAGAUAUCACACAGAACACCGAUUGCGAAGGCAUCUCACGAAUCCGCGAUUGACGCUGAUGCACGAAAGCGUGGGUAUCAAAUAGGAUUAGAUACCCUUGUAGUC